UACGUAGGGGGCAAGCGUUGUCCGGAUUUAUUGGGCGUAAAGAGCGUGUAGGCGGCCAGACAGGUCCGUUGUGAAAACUCGAGGCUCAACCUCGAGAUGUCGAUGGAAACCGUCUGGCUAGAGUCCGGAAGAGGAGAGUGGAAUUCCCGGUGUAGCGGUGAAAUGCGCAGAUAUCGGGAAGAACACCCGUGGCUAAGGCGGCUCUCUAGUACGGUACUGACGCUGAGACGCGAAAGCGUGGGGAGCGAACAGG
rnacentral:rRNA from 1 species